AGUGAACGCUGGCGGUAGGCCUAACACAUGCAAGUCGAACGGCAGCACAGUAAGAGCUUGCUCUUACGGGUGGCGAGUGGCGGACGGGUGAGGAAUACAUCGGAAUCUACUUUUUCGUGGGGGAUAACGUAGGGAAACUUACGCUAAUACCGCAUACGACCUACGGGUGAAAGCAGGGGAUCUUCGGACCUUGCGCGAUUGAAUGAGCCGAUGUCGGAUUAGCUAGUUGGCGGGGUAAAGGCCCACCAAGGCGACGAUCCGUAGCUGGUCUGAGAGGAUGAUCAGCCACACUAGAACUGAGACACGGUCCAGACUCCUACGGGAGGCAGCAGUGGGGAAUAUUGGACAAUGGUCGCAAGCCUGAUCCAGCCAUACCGCGUGGGUGAAGAAGGCCUUCGGGUUGUAAAGCCCUUUUGUUGGGAAAGAAAAGCAGCAGGUUAAUACCCCGCUGUUCUGACGGUACCCAAAGAAUAAGCACCGGCUAACUUCGUG
rnacentral:rRNA from 1 species